AACCCAUGGUGAGGGCACCUUCUCAAUAAGUCCUUGUAUCUCUUCCAUGCAUCAUAAAGAGUUUCGAGAUCUAUCUGCACAAAAUAAGAGAUAUCAUUCCUUAAUUU
rnacentral:snoRNA from 1 species